GUCCUUCCUCAGACUGAUGGCAAUGAUUGUGGAGUUUUCAUGUUCAUGUGUGCCCUCUACACCGUGAUGAACACUCCAUUCAGUUUCACUCAGGCAUGGGAAAAGGUUCACCCACUGGACCGAGGAGGCAAGAUGCCUGACCAAAGGGACACUACGACCUCUUUACAGGGGUUUUCCAGGACUAACUCAUGACUUGCUUUUGCCGCGAGGAACCGAAUGUCGGUGGACUUCAUUGUGGCAACAAGAGGAACAGAUUCAGUCCAUCAUCAGAGACCAACAGAUAUCAAAGUGGCUUGACACUUUUUCCAAGCGUUCCACCAAGACAGUACCUGUGCAGAGAAGAUCAGGAGCAAAUUGAUGCAAUUCACUCUCACCUGACUUCAAUUCUGGACAGCACAGUGACAAGAUCAAAUUAAUUACGGAUGUCCUUUUUCCAGAGGUAGGUCUCAUGGGUUAGCUGUGCUCUGCAUGGUGUCAGAUUCACAUUGUUUUUAAUAAGUCAAAUAGUUUAUCCAUAAUGUGAGAUCAUUGCUCUAAAAACAAUUGUCUUUGUGGUUAAUAUAGAAAAGACACUUUUGAUUUAGUUGUAAAAUCUAAACAUGCAAAAUGAUACGUGGCUUAUUUGGGGUCAGUUCUUUCUCUGGUAGUCC